CCUACGGGAGGCAGCAGUGAGGAAUAUUGGUCAAUGGCCGAGAGUCUGAACCAGCCAAGUCGCGUGAGGGAAGACGGCCCUACGGGUUGUAAACCUCUUUUGUCGGGGAGCAAAGCGUGUCACGUGUGACUCAUUGAGAGUACCCGAAGAAAAAGCAUAGGCUAACUCCGUGCCAGCAGCCGCGGUAAUACGGAGGAUGCGAGCGUUAUCCGGAUUUAUUGGGUUUAAAGGGUGCGCAGGCGGAGGUGCAAGUCAGCGGUCAAAUUUCGGGGCUCAACCCCGUACUGCCGUUGAAACUGGAUGCCUUGAGUGCGCGAGAGGUAUGCGGAAUGCGUGGUGUAGCGGUGAAAUGCAUAGAUAUCACGAAGAACUCCGAUUGCGAAGGCAGCACACCGGCGCGCAACUGACGCUCAUGCACGAAAGCGUGGGUAUCGAACAGGAUUAGAUACCCUAGUAGUC
rnacentral:rRNA from 1 species